GUUAAAAAGCUCGUAGUUGGAUUUCUUCGUUGGUGCGACCGCCCGUCGCCUUCUAGGUGCAUGGGACAGGUUUGCGUUGACGAAUCUUGCCACGAACUGCUCUGACCUUCAUUGGUUGGGGUUCAGGGACUGGCUCGUUUACUUUGAGAAAAAUAGAGUGUUCAAAGCAGGCGUUUGCCUUGAAUAAGUUAGCAUGGAGUAAUGAUAUAGGACUUUGGUUCUAUUUUGUUGGUUGUUCGAGGACCGAAGUAAUGAUUGAUAGGGACAGUUGGGGGCAUCAGUAUUCUGAAGCGAGAGGUGAAAUUCUUGGACCUUUGGAAGACCAACAACUGCGAAAGCAUUUGCCAAGGAUGUUCUCUUUAAUCAAGAACGAAAGUUGGGGGAUCGAAGACGAUCAGAUACCGUCGUAGUCUCAACUAUAAACUAUGCCGACUAGGGAUUGGUGGACGUUUUAUUUCGACUUCAUCAGCACCUUAUGAGAA
rnacentral:rRNA from 1 species